rnacentral:tRNA from 2 species
GGCGAUGUAGCUCAGCUGGCUAGAGCAUGCGGCUCAUAACCGCAGUGUCCGGGGUUCAAUUCCCUGCAUCGCCACCA